AUGGACUGCAGUUUUGUCAAGGACACGUUUAUGGAUGCUACGGAUUUCAUAGUGAAACAAGCCCUCGAAGGACUGAACGACUCUACCCUUGGUGAUCCCGAGAGACGCAUCAUGCUUGAGAGUGUUUCUCAAAUGCUGCCCACGCAAGUGCCUGAGGUAGCGAAGGUGAAGGCCAUUUUGGUCGGGCUUAUUGACCUUUCCAAGAAGUUGGAGGGUGGCCAGACCAAAUUCACGAGGGAAUCCGAGCGAGAUGAACAUGUUGUUGCCGAAUUAGAACUUAAGAUUAAGUCUGGCCAUGAGGUUUCCAAGGCCAUAAUUGAGGACUUAUCUGCCGUAGAAAAGAAGUGCACUGAAAUGGAGGCACGGGAAGUAGAGCUGAAGGCCCAGCUUGAAGAGGUUACUGGUACUUUGCACAAGCUUAAUUGA
rnacentral:rRNA from 1 species